rnacentral:rRNA from 1 species
GAUGAACGCUAGCGGCAGGCCUAACACAUGCAAGUCGAACGGUAACAGAUCUAGCUUGCUAGAUGCUGACGAGUGGCGCACGGGUGCGUAACGCGUAUGCAACUUACCCCUAACUAGAGAAUAGCCUUUCGAAAGGAAGAAUAAUACUCCAUAAUAUUUCGCUGUGGCAUCACAGCGUUCUUAAAGCUUCGGCGGUUAGGGAUGGGCAUGCGUCCUAUUAGUUUGUUGGUGAGGUAACGGCUCACCAAGACUACGAUAGUAGGGGGGCCUGAAGAGGGUUACUCCCCACACUGGUACUGAGACACGGACCAGACUCCGUACGGGAGGCAGCAGGUGGGGAAUAUUGCAACAAUGGACGAAAGUCUGAUGCAGCAACGCCGCGUGGAGGAUGACACUAGUUUCGGUGACGUAAA